AACGACUCUCGGCAACGGAUAUCUCGGCUCUCGCAUCGAUGAAGAACGUAGCGAAAUGCGAUACUUGGUGUGAAUUGCAGAAUCCCGUGAACCAUCGAGUCUUUGAACGCAAGUUGCGCCCGAGGCCUCACGGCCGAGGGCACGUCCGCCUGGGUGUCACGC
rnacentral:rRNA from 1 species